AGCUCCAAUAGCAUAUGUUAUUAUUAAAGUUGUUGCAGUUAGAAAGCUCGUAGUCGGAUUUCUUGGUUGUUUGGAGCACGCGCUUCGAACGAAGCGUUCGUUGUAACAAUCCACCAUUUCGUCCCUUGCUCGCAGCUGGUCUUUAAUUUGCUGACUCGGUUGUUGUGCUGGGACCUUUUACUGUGAGAAAAUUAGAGUGUUCAAAGCAAGCGUUUUUGCAAUUGAAUAUUCCAGCAUGGAAUAACAAGAUACGACUUUGGAGCUAUUUUGUUGGUUUCUAUUUCGGAAGUAAUGAUUGAUAGGGAUAGUUGGGGGUGCUAGUAUUGGAUGGUCAAUUCAUGGAUUCAUUCAAGAGUAACUUAUGCGAAAGCAUUCACCAAGGAUGUCCUCUUUG
rnacentral:rRNA from 1 species